CUACGUGCCAGCAGCCGCGGUAAUACGUAGGGGGCGAGCGUUAUCCGGAAUUAUUGGGCGUAAAGAGUGCGUAGGUGGCACCUUAAGCGCAGGGUUUAAGGCAAUGGCUCAACCAUUGUUCGCCUUGCGAACUGGGGUGCUUGAGUGCAGGAGGGGAAAGUGGAAUUCCUAGUGUAGCGGUGAAAUGCGUAGAUAUUAGGAGGAACACCAGUGGCGAAGGCGACUUUCUGGACUGUUACUGACACUGAGGUACGAAAGCGUGGGGAGCAAACAGGAUUAGAUACCCUGGUAGUCCACGCCGUAAACGAUGAGCACUAGGUGUCGGGGUCGCAAGACUUCGGUGCCGCAGUUAACGCAUUAAGUGCUCCGCCUGGGGAGUACGCACGCAAGUGUAAAACUCAAAGGAAUUGACGGGGACCCGCACAAGCAGCGGAGCAUGUGGUUUAAUUCGAAGCAACGCGAAGAACCUUACCAGGACUUGACAUCC
rnacentral:rRNA from 1 species